rnacentral:rRNA from 1 species
GCAGUGGGGAAUAUUGCACAAUGGGCGAAAGCCUGAUGCAGCAACGCCGCGUGGGGGAUGACGGCCUUCGGGUUGUAAACCUCUUUUAGUAGGGAAGAAGGGCUUCGGCUUGACGGUACCUGCAGAAAAAGCACCGGCUAACUACGUGCCAGCAGCCGCGGUAAUACGUAGGGUGCAAGCGUUGUCCGGAAUUAUUGGGCGUAAAGAGCUCGUAGGCGGUUUGUCGCGUCUGCUGUGAAAACCCGAGGCUCAACCUCGGGCCUGCAGUGGGUACGGGCAGACUAGAGUGCGGUAGGGGAGAAUGGAAUUCCUGGUGUAGCGGUGGAAUGCGCAGAUAUCAGGAGGAACACCGAUGGCGAAGGCAGUUCUCUGGGCCGUUACUGACGCUGAGGAGCGAAAGCGUGGGGAGCGAACAGGAUUAGA